rnacentral:rRNA from 1 species
ACGCCUAACACAUGCAAGUCGAACGCAGUAGCAAUACUGAGUGGCAAACGGGUGAGUAUAAUGUGGGAAUCUGCCUUUUGGUUUGGAAUAACACGGGGAAACUUGUGCUAAUACCGAAUAAGCCUUUACAGGGAAAGUUUUAACGCCGAAAGAUGAGCCCGCACUUGAUUAGCUAGUUGGUAAGGUAAAAGCUUACCAAGGCAACGAUCAAUAGCUGUUCUUAGAGGAAGACCAGCCACAUUGGGACUGAGACACGGCCCAGACUCCUACGGGAGGCAGCAGUGGGGAAUCUUGCACAAUGGGGGAAACCCUGAUGCAGCGAUGCCGCGUGAGUGAAGAAGGCCUUUGGGUUGUAAAACUCUUUCGUCGGGGAAGAAAAUGACUGUACCCGAAUAAGAAGGUCCGGCUAACUUCGUGCCAGCAGCCGCGGUAAUACGAAGGGACCUAGCGUAGUUCGGAAUUACUGGGCUUAAAGAGCUCGUAGGUGGUUAAAAAAGUUGAUGGUGAAAUCCCAAGGCUUAACCUUGGAACUGCCAUCAAAACUUUUUAGCUAGAGUGUGAUAGAGGUAAGUGGAAUUUCUAGUGUAGAGGUGAAAUUCGUAGAUAUUAGAAAGAACACCAAAUGCGAAGGCAACUUACUGGGUCACUACUGACACUGAGGAGCGAAAGCAUGGGUAGCGAAGAGGAUUAGAUACCCUCGUAGUCCAUGCCGUAAACGAUGUGUGCUAGACGUUGGAAAUAUAUUUUUCAGUGUCGCAGCGAAAGCAUUAAGCACACCGCCUGGGGAGUACG